CAUUGGCUCAACCAANGUAUGCUUUGGAAACUGUUAGACUUGAGUGCAGAAGGGGAGAGUGGAAUUCCAUGNGUAGCGGUGAAAUGCGUAGAUAUAUGGAGGAACACCGGUGGCGAAAGCGGCUCUCUGGUCUGUCACUGACGCUGAGGCUCGAAAGCGUGGGUAGCGAACAGGAUUAGAUACCCUGGUAGUNCACGCCGUAAACGCUGAGUGCUAGGUGUUAGGUCCUUUCCGGGACUUAGUGCCGACGCUAACGCAUUAAGCACUCCGCCUGGGGAGUACGACCGCAAGGUUGAAACUCAAAGGAAUUGACGGGGGCCCGCACAAGCGGUGGAGCAUGUGGUUUAAUUCGAAGCAACGCGAAGAACCUUACCAGGUCUUGACAUCCCGAUGCCCGCUCUAGAGAUAGAGUUUUUCUUCGGAACAUCGGAGACAGGUGGUGCAUGGUUGUCGUCAGCUCGUGUCGUGAGAUGUUGUGUUAAGUCCCGCAACGAGCGCAACCCUUAUUGUUAGUUGCCAUCAUUAAGUUGGGCACUCUAGCGAGACUGCCGGUAAUAAACCGGAGGAAGGUGGGGAUGACGUCAAAUCAUCAUGCCCCUUAUGACCUGGGCUACACACGUGCUACAAUGGUUGGUACAACGAGUCGCAAGCCGGUGACGGCAAGCUAAUCUCUGAAAGCCAAUCUCAGUUCGGAUUGUAGGCUGCAACUCGCCUACAUGAAGUCGGAAUCGCUAGUAAUCGCGGAUCAGCACGCCGCGGUGAAUACGUUCCCGGGCCUUGUACACACCGCCCGUCACACCACGAGAGUUUGUAACACCCAAAGUCGG
rnacentral:rRNA from 1 species